GACAAUAUCUUGAACAUUAAUGCCUUUAAGAGAAAUGCCCUUAAAAAUACCUUUAGCAAGCAUUUCCUUAGCAAACAUGCUCCUAGCAACAGAGAGUUAAGUUUUGUAAGGGCAUGUGAAUAUGAAGGCAGAGACUGGAGUGAUGCCAAGAAAUGUGAAAGAUUUCCAGGAACCAUCAGAAGCGAGGAAAAACGCAUGGAAAAGAUUCAGAGUGCUCAGAAGGAAGAAACCCUACCACCACCUGAUUUGGACUUCUAAGCUCCAGAACUAAGGGAAGAGGACGUAAAUAUUCCCAUUUAGAAGCCCAAAGUCAGUGAGAUGAAACCCAACAUCAAGAAAUUGAAGCAAAGUUACUUGUGUAUAAACAAAGCAUUAGAUAUUCCCCUGAAGAAAUUUGGAAAGAAAUUGAAAUUGCCUGUGGUUGUAGCCAAUUCACCUGUAAAGAAUAUAAAAUUCUCCCCAAGAACUGGUCAUUCC
rnacentral:lncRNA from 1 species